rnacentral:rRNA from 1 species
UGGGGAAUAUUGCACAAUGGGCGCAAGCCUGAUGCAGCAACGCCGCGUGGGUGAAGAAGGCCCUUGGGUCGUAAAGCCCUUUCGAUGGGAAAGAAGGGAUCACUGGUAAAUAAUCAGUGGUUUUGACGGUACCUAGAGAAGAAGCACCGGCCAAUUUCGUGCCAGCAGCCGCGGUAAUACGAGAGGUGCAAGCGUUGUUCGGAAUUAUUGGGCGUAAAGAGCACGUAGGCGGGCUCGCAUGUCAAUUGUGAAAUACCUGGGCUUAACCUGGGAAUUGCAGUUGAAACUACGAGUCUUGAAUACCUGAGAGGGUGGGGGAAUUCCUGGUGGAGAAGUGAAAUUCGUAGAGAUCAGGAGGAACACCGGAGGCGAAGGCGCCUGCCUGGCAGUGUAUUGACGCUAAGGUGCGAAAGCGUGGGGAGCAAACAGG